UACAGAGGUCUCAAGCGUUGUUCGGAUUCAUUGGGCGUAAAGGGCGCGUAGGCGGCUCGUUAAGUCGGGUGUGAAAACUCUGGGCUCAACCCAGAGCCUGCAUUCGAAACUGACGAGCUAGAGUUCUGGAGGGGAAAGCGGAAUUCCUGGUGUAGCGGUGAAAUGCGUAGAUAUCAGGAGGAACACCCGUGGCGAAGGCGGCUUCCUGGGGCCAUCCUGACACUGAGAAGCGAAAGCUAGGGGAGCGAACGGG
rnacentral:rRNA from 1 species